rnacentral:rRNA from 1 species
UACGGAAUGUGCAAACGUUAUUCGGAAUCACUGGGCUUAAAGAGUCCGUAGGCGGCAUGUUAGGUGAGGUGUGAAAUCCCCCGGCUCAACCGAGGAAUUGCGCUUCAAACCGGCGUGCUUGAGGAAGAUAGAGGUGGGCGGAACUGAUGGUGGAGCGGUGAAAUGCGUUGAUAUCAUCAGGAACACCGGAGGCGAAGGCGGCCUACUGGGUCUUUUCUGACGCUGAGGGACGAAAGCUAGGGGAGCGAACGGG